UCAUAUUUCUUUCUUGCAUCUUUGCUUCUCAGAUAUUCCUGUUAAAUUCAUCAACUGCAAGUGCCGUCCAAAUACAGGUCCCGCCCUUCAGUAUCAUGAAAAACAAGAACUUUUUGUUUGAAGAUUUAGCAAUACAUUACUAAUACAAAUGUUAAAAAGCUUCACAUCUAAGGCAUUGACAAUUUCCAGAUUGCACAGCAUUAGUUGUGUCACCUACAGAGCCAGAACUUAAUCAGUAUCUCAUGAUCUGAAACUUGAUCUGGCUUCAUCAAUGGUUUAGUGUUGUCGUAACUCUGGUUGUACUUUACCUGGGUAGUAUAAGUCAACCAAUUGUAGUAUCAAGCUAUUGGUUGACUUAUACUACACGCGUAAAAUUACAAUCAAGAACCGACCCAUCCAAGUUAGCCAGCAAAAUUUUGGUGCAAUCUUUGAAAUUGGUCUGAAGAAAAAAAAUGCUGCAAUUGAUUGGCUUAUACUACACAGAUCGUGGAAUAAGCCACUAUUCCAGAGAAAACGACAGCUGUGUCUCGGUUUCUUGAUUUCAACCGCAGGAACAAGAUAAUCUUUCAUCAUAUCUGUCUACCUAUGUGGUCUGUGGAUCUUUCCAAGUAUUAGCCUUUGAUGAAGAUGUUGCUGAGCUCGACUUACUGAAUGAGCUAGGGGAUAUACAAAGAUUAGCCUUUUCUACUUUCGAGAGGAUGGAUCAGGAGAUUUCUCAGUGAUCAUGAAAUUGUUCCACAAAUCAUAGCAUUGGGCUUUCUAUGGGAAGACAAGUAGAACAUUAAGUGAUCGACUCUUCUAAAACUUCUAACUUUGUUACUGUUGGUAUUAAGGUGUGAAUGUGAAGUGAGAGAGCUAGUAAUCUAGGAGUGAAGGAGAAUACUUGACCUGUGAAUUUUUGCUAUUUGGAUCCUUUUUGUAAUGAAACUGUAAGCUUCAUUUGA